rnacentral:rRNA from 1 species
UACGUAGGGGGCAAGCGUUAUCCGGAUUUACUGGGUGUAAAGGGAGCGUAGGCGGGCAUUUAAGCCGGCGGUCAAAUGUCGGGGCUCAACCCCGGCCUGCCGUCGGAACUGGGUGCCUUGAGUGGGCGAGAAGUAUGCGGAAUGCGUGGUGUAGCGGUGAAAUGCAUAGAUAUCACGCAGAACCCCGAUUGCGAAGGCAGCAUACCGGCGCCCGACUGACGCUGAAGCACGAAAGCGUGGGUAUCGAACAGG